UCGAAACCCUCUCUAGACAGUUUGGUCUCAAAGAUCACAGAAUCAAAUGAUGUCACUUAAAAUUACCUCAUCUCUGUUUGAGUUUUGCACAUAUCUUUGCCCAUUCAAACCUAAAAAAAAAUCAUUUUUGAGUGAAACUAAUGAUAUGACGAUCAGUUAACCUAACAAUAUCUAACAGUCAGCUGCACUUAAAACCUCUAGCUAUAGAAAAUGACAUUUCUAUGGUUUAUUGCGCCGUGCUUGACUGAUAACUAUACGUCAAUAUUUAAUAAUUAAGAGAGUGGAAUUUUUUGUUGAUUUCAGUUUUGUACAUACAUACACUUAAGGACAACAGAAGUAUAUAUGCUCUCAAAGAAUAGUUGAAAAACUAGCUAGUCUCUGAAAGACAAGUCAUUUGGUAUGUUCCAAACAUUCUCUACAAACAGAAAAACGACAAAUCAUAUGGAAUUAUCCGCUUCUAAUUAAUACAUAAAUUAAAUCCCAAAU
rnacentral:lncRNA from 1 species